rnacentral:lncRNA from 1 species
UUCAGCAAAGCAUAAACAACAAUUAACAGCAAGGAUCAACGAACCCCAACUUCAAACACAGGAUUGAUAUGCAUCAGCCCAAAAGAGAAAAGUUCCACUCGAACCAAACCUAGCAGACUCAGAAUCAGACUCUAAAACCAAUAUUCAAAUCAUUUUCAAACUCCACAAUGAAGAACUAUAUUUUCUGGCAGAAAAAUAAGUAAAGUUCAAUGAAAUAGUAGAUUUUUGUUUUUCUUUUGUAUUUUUCUGAAAUCUAAUCUCUAAU